rnacentral:rRNA from 1 species
UACGAAGGGUGCAAACGUUGCUCGGAAUUAUUGGGCGUAAAGCGCACGUAGGCGGCUUAGCAAGUCGGAAGUGAAAUCCCACGGCUCAACCAUGGAAGUGCUUUCGAAACUGCUGAGCUUGAGUACGAAAGAGGAUCGCGGAAUUCCCGGUGUAGAGGUGAAAUUCGUAGAUAUCGGGAGGAACACCAGUGGCGAAGGCGGCGAUCUGGGUCGAUACUGACGCUGAGGUGCGAAAGCGCGGGGAGCAAACAGG